CCUACGGGAGGCAGCAGUGGGGAAUAUUGGACAAUGGGCGAAAGCCUGAUCCAGCAAUGCCGCGUGAGUGAUGAAGGCCUUAGGGUUGUAAAGCUCUUUUACCAGGGAUGAUAAUGACAGUACCUGGAGAAUAAGCUCCGGCUAACUCCGUGCCAGCAGCCGCGGUAAUACGGAGGGAGCUAGCGUUGUUCGGAAUUACUGGGCGUAAAGCGUACGUAGGCGGUUAUUCAAGUCAGAGGUGAAAGCCCGGGGCUCAACCCCGGAACUGCCUUUGAAACUAGAUAGCUAGAAUCUUGGAGAGGUUAGUGGAAUUCCGAGUGUAGAGGUGAAAUUCGUAGAUAUUCGGAAGAACACCAGUGGCGAAGGCGACUAACUGGACAAGUAUUGACGCUGAGGUACGAAAGCGUGGGGAGCAAACAGGAUUAGAUACCCUGGUAGUCCACGCCGUAAACGAUGAUAACUAGUUGUUCGGGCACUUGGUGCCUGAGUGACGCAGCUAACGCAUUAAGUUAUCCGCCUGGGGAUACGGUCGCAAGAUUAAAACUCAAAGGAAUUGACGGCUGAGACGNGCGAGACGACGACGAGGAGAG
rnacentral:rRNA from 1 species